UACGAAGGGGGAGCUAGCGUUGCUCGGAAUGACUGGGCGUAAAGGGCGCGUAGGCGGAUGGUACAGUCAGAUGUGAAAUUCCCGGGCUUAACCUGGGGGCUGCAUUUGAUACGUGUUGUCUAGAGUGAGGAAGAGGGUCGUGGAAUUCCCAGUGUAGAGGUGAAAUUCGUAGAUAUUGGGAAGAACACCGGUGGCGAAGGCGGCGACCUGGUCCUUUACUGACGCUGAGGCGCGAAAGCGUGGGGAGCAAACAGG
rnacentral:rRNA from 1 species